rnacentral:rRNA from 1 species
CCUACGGGAGGCAGCAGUGGGGAAUAUUGGACAAUGGGCGCAAGCCUGAUCCAGCCAUGCCGCGUGUGUGAAGAAGGCCUUCGGGUUGUAAAGCACUUUAAGUUGGGAGGAAGGGCAGUAAGUUAAUACCUUGCUGUUGACGUUACCAACAGAAUAAGCACCGGCUAACUUCGUGCCAGCAGCCGCGGUAAU